UAAGCCGUGCGCACUGUUGGAUAUGUGCGUUCAAGCAGCAAGUCUGGUUGUUAGUUAAAUGCUUUCAACCGGGUAGACAAGCUGUGAUGAGGACCGAAUUUAAGUAGGGAAGUGGCUGAUGUCACGCUGCCGAGAAAAGCUUCUAGUGAGUAUCUUACUACCCGUACCGCAAACCGACACAGGUAGUCGAGGAGAGAAUCCUAAGGUGAGCGAGUGAACUCUCGUUAAGGAACUCGGCAAAAUGACCCCGUAACUUCGGGAGAAGGGGUGCUGCACGCAAGUGCAGCCGCAGUGAAGAGGCUCAGGCGACUGUUUAUCAAAAACACAGGUUUCUGCAAAAUCGUAAGAUGACGUAUAGGGGCUGACGCCUGCCCGGUGCUGGAAGGUUAAGUGGAUGAGUUAGCUUCGGCGAAGCCCAGAAAUGAAGCCCCAGUAAACGGCGGCCGUAACUAUAACGGUCCUAAGGUAGCGAAAUUCCUUGUCGGGUAAGUUCCGACCCGCACGAAAGGCGUAACGAUCUGAGCACUGUCUCAACGAGAGACUCGGUGAAAUUAAAGUACCUGUGAAGAUGCAGGUUACCCGCGACAGGACGGAAAGACCCCAUGGAGCUUUACUAUAGCUUGAUAUUGGGUGUUGACACAACUUGUACAGGAUAGGUCGGAGCCGUAGAAACCGGAACGCUAGUUUCGGUGGAGGCACUGGUGGGAUACGACCCUUGUUGUGUGAACACUCUAACCCGCGCCACUAAGCGUGGCGGGAGACAGUGUCAGGUGGGUAGUUUGACUGGGGCGGUCGCCUCCCAAAAAGUAACGGAGGCGCCCAAAGGUUCCCUCAGAAUGGUUGGAAAUCAUUCGUAGAGUGUAAAGGCACAAGGGAGCUUGACUGCGAGACAGACAGGUCGAGCAGGGACGAAAGUCGGGCUUAGUGAUCCGGCGGUACCGUAUGGAAGGGCCGUCGCUCAACGGAUAAAAGCUACCCUGGGGAUAACAGGCUUAUCUCCCCCAAGAGUCCACAUCGACGGGGAGGUUUGGCACCUCGAUGUCGGCUCAUCGCAUCCUGGGGCUGUAGUCGGUCCCAAGGGUUGGGCUGUUCGCCCAUUAAAGCGGUACGCGAGCUGGGUUCAGAACGUCGUGAGACAGUUCGGUCCCUAUCCGUCGCGGGCGUAGGAAAUUUGAGAGGAGCUGUUCCUAGUACGAGAGGACCGGAAUGGACACACCGCUGGUGUAUCAGUUGUGCCGCCAGGCGCAUUGCUGAGUAGCUAUGUGUGGAUGAGAUAAACGCUGAAAGCAUCUAAGUGUGAAA
rnacentral:rRNA from 1 species